rnacentral:sRNA from 1 species
AUACGGAAAAUUGUAAAUUAAUAUAGGAUAAAGUGGAAUUCUUAUUUGAAACACAAUGUUCUCAUCACAAAGGAUCAUCCAUACAUAUAUAUUAGGUAUGGGCACGAAGCGGAUAUCCGGAAAAAUUGUGAUAUUUGUUAUUCGAUUCAUUUUAAACGAAUACUUGAUUUUGUGAUUUGCUUUGCUUCAAAAAUUUCCGGAUAUCCGAAAUUUCGAAUAUUCGGAAUUUUUUGUGAUAUUUGCGGAUAACCAUAUCAGAUAUUCAAAGUUUUUUUUUUAACAUGCUUUCAAAAUAAGUUUUAAAUACCAAACAUAACCGUUGUUGGUAUCACCAGUCAACAAACUGUUAUCAAACUAAUUCCAAAAACUAAAACCCGAUAGUUUUUUAUGCCAUUGAUCAAAACAUAACAUGAAAAAAAAAUGAUCAAACAAACAUCUUAACAUAAAAACAUAAAAUGACAACAAUACACAAACUAUUUAUGAUAUCUAUAUAUAGAUAUAACUAUAUUUUCUAAUAUAUAUAAAAAGAUACGGAUCGAAGUGGGUAUUCGAUUUUUUUAA